GCGGAUGUGGCGGAAUUGGCAGACGCGCUGGAUUAAGGAUCCAGUGGGGCAACCCGUGGAGGUUCGACUCCUCUCGUCCGCA
rnacentral:tRNA from 1 species